CUGCAACUGAUCUAGCUGUUACUUCAAACAAGCUCGAUGUGGUUCAACAUGUCACUGGGGCAUCUGGGAUUCAAAUUGGUAAUGAUCGAGUGAAGUCUAAUGAUCAACCAGCAGCUGAAAUUACAGGUUCUAAAUCCUCUGUUGUAGCUGAUAAGGGGCUGUGGAGUUCUGCUGUAGCUAGAGUUACUCAGGCUGUGGAAUCGACUUUACACGCUACUGAUAUAAGUGAUGCAACUGCUGUC
rnacentral:lncRNA from 1 species